rnacentral:rRNA from 1 species
AUGGAGCCCGACGACGAGCGGGGGCGGGCGCCGCAGCGCAAGGGGAUAUCCUACAGCCAGCCGCUCGCGCGGGACGCGGUGGCGCAGGCGGCGUACGCGCGCCACGCCGCGCUCAGCUCGCACAGCCUCGAUGACGAACCCAUCGCCUCCGCCUCGGCGCACCGCCACGACCCCGCGCGCAGCGUGUCGUGUCCCCACCAGCUCCCGCCUCACCACCACCACAGCCGCGGCGGCGAGUCGGUGUACUUACACGCCGCCUCCUUCGGCGGCGGCGGCGCGGUGACGCUGGAGCGGGCUGUGGCGACGUCGGAGCACGGGGGCGCGGGCGGCAGGGGUGCGCUGCCGGAGUUCGUCGGCGCGGGCGGGGGCGAGGGCAUCUUCCGCGUGCCGCUGCGCGCGGCCAUGCACCCUGGCCGCCCGCCGGCGCUCGAGGUGCGGCCCCACCCGCCGCGGGAGACGCAGGUGUGCUCCUUCCUGCGGACGCUCGCGUGCGAGCCGCAGCUUCGCCAGCUGUGGACAGGGGCCGAGUCCGGGGUCCGGGUGUGGGGCCUCGACGAGUUGUUCGCCGGGAGCGUCGCGGGGGCGCGCCGGGGAGACGAGGAGACCGCGCCGUUCACGGAAUCCGUGCCCGCGCCGCCAGCGCUCUGCGUCGCGCUGGACAGCGCGAACAAGCUCGUGUGGACGGGCCACAAGGACGGGAGGAUCCGGUCGUGGCGCAUGGACCUCGCCACGACGCCGGCAGCUGCAGCAGACGGUGGCGAGAAUGCGCCCAUGUUCAAGGAGGCCCUGUCGUGGCAGGCGCACAGCCGCACCCCGGUGCUCUCCAUGGUUGUCACAUCAUACGGUGAAAUAUGGUCAGGCACCGAAGGAGGUGUUAUAAAGGCAUGGCCCUGGGAUGUCAUUGCUAAGUCCCUCUCACUAACACCAGAAGAAAAAUAUAUGGCUUCUUGUCUGGUCGAAAAUGCGUAUAUUGACCUUAGGAACUAUGUCACAGUUGGUACCAUGUUCUCUUUGCCCACUACUGAUGUGAAACACAUGCUUGCGGACCAUUGUCGAGCGAAAGUUUGGAGUCUAACUAGCAUGACGUUUGCUCUUUGGGAUGCUCGGACAAGGGAGUUGUUAAAAGUAUUUGGAAUGGACGGCCAAGUGGAGUCAGCUCGUCUAGAGCCACUAGUGAUGCCAGAACAAUUUAUAGAGGAGGAAAUCAAGGUAAAACCCACAAAGAAGGAGAAAAACCAAGGCUCUGUCACCUUUUUAAAGAAAUCUUGGAAUGCCUUGAUUGGGGCUGGCGGUGCAGUACGCAGAGUUGCAACUAAAGGAACGUUCGUUGAAGAUAACCGUCGAACAGAAACAGUGGCUCAAGCAAUGGAUGGUGCAAUUUGGUCAGGUUGCACAGAUGGCUCGAUUAUUAUGUGGGAUGGAAAUGGGAAUUGGCUAAAAGAGUUCAGUUAUCAUAAUUCUUCUGUUCAAUGCAUAAAGGCACUCGGAGGAAAGGUGUGGGUGGGCUAUGCCAGUGGUACUGUUCAAGUCAUGGAUGUUGAAGGUAACCCUCUGGGAGGAUGGACUGGACAUAGCUGUCCAGUCAUUCAGAUGGCCAUUGGUGGUUCUUACAUCUUUACUCUAGCCCAUCAUGGUGGUAUUCGAGGAUGGCCUCUAACUUCUCCUGGGCCUCUGGAUGAUAUUCUGCGGACAGAAUUGGCGAAGAGGGAGUUGUCCUAUACAAGGGUAGAGAACAUUAAGAUGCUGGUUGGAACUUGGAAUGUUGCGCAGGAGAAAGCAUCACCUGAAUCGCUUUGGUCAUGGUUGGGUACUGCAUCAUCUGAUGUUGGAUUGGUGGUGGUUGGCCUGCAAGAGGUUGAGAUGGGUGCUGGAGUUCUUGCUAUGGCUGCGGCUAAAGAAAGUGUAGGGCUUGAGGGCAGUGCCAAUGGGCAGUGGUGGAUAGACAAUAUUGGCAAGGCACUUGAUGAAGGAAUAUCCUUCCACCGAGUUGGCUCGAGGCAGUUGGCUGGAUUACUUAUUGCUGCAUGGGCAAGGACAGACCUUAAGCCACAUAUUGGUGAUGUUGAUGCUGCUGCGGUGCCAUGUGGCUUUGGACGUGCUAUUGGCAACAAGGGUGGUGUUGGGUUAAAAAUGAGAGUUUACGAUCGCAGGAUAUGUUUUGUGAACAAUCAUUUUGCCGCACAUCUAGAAAAUGUUACUCGUCGCAAUGCUGACUUCGAUCAUAUCUAUCGGACAAUGAAUUUUAACAAAUCUCAUGGAUCUGCAGCUUCUGAUACGUCUGUCCAAUUGCAUAAAGCAGUGAAUAUAUUGACAUACUGGCAGGCCAAUGGGAAUCAGCCUGAUGAAGAUAGACCUGAGCUGGCAGAAGCUGAUAUGGUUGUUUUUCUUGGUGAUUUCAACUACCGACUUUACGGUAUCACCUAUGACGAGGCAAGGGAUAUGGUCUCGCAAAGGAGCUUCGAUUGGCUUAGAGAAAGGGAUCAACUUCGAGCAGAAAUGAAGGCAGGAAACGUGUUUCAAGGAAUGCGUGAAGGUUUUAUCAGAUUUCCUCCAACUUACAAAUUCCAAAGACACCAACCAGGUCUUGCAGGGUAUGAUUCGGGUGAGAAGAAGAGAAUACCUGCUUGGUGCGAUAGAAUAGUGUAUCGAGAUAGCCGCUCCGAAACAAUACGUGAAUGCUCAUUAGAGUGUCCUGUUGUUGCUGCAAUUACAUCAUAUGAAGCAUGCAUGGAUGUGACAGAUAGCGAUCAUAAACCAGUGAACUGUACGUUCAGUGUUGAUCUUGCAAGAGUGAACGAGCUGAUAAGAAGGCAGGAGUAUGGAAAAAUAAUCGAAUCGAAUGAAAAGCUACAUUGUUUGCUUCAAGAAUCCCAUCAUGUUCCAGACACUAUAAUCAGCACAAACAACAUUAUAUUGGAAAACGAAGAAACUGUUGUCCUUCGAAUAACAAAUAACUGUGGAUCAAAAAAGUCUGCUUUUGAAAUCUUGUGUGAAGGCCAGUCGACAAGCAAGCAGGACGGAACAAAAACUGAUUUUAUUGCAAGGGCAUCCUUUGGCCUUCCACAUUGGCUUGAGGUCCAACCGUCCAUCGGUCUCAUCGAGCCUGGAGAAACAAUGGAGGUUAACGUGCAUCACGAGAACUACUACACGCAGGAAGAAUUCGUCGACGGAGUGGUGCAAGGCGGAUGGUGCGAACUGACCAGAGACAAGGAGGCUGUUCUGCUGGUCAAUGUGACAGGCAGCACCUCGACCGAAACCGUUACGCACAGGAUCAACGUCCGGCACUGCUGCGCGGCAAGCUCACCACCCCCACCGGUCAGUCUGCUGGCCAUCGCCGCCCCGCCCGGUGAUGCCCCCUCGAGUGAAGGUCUGACAGAACGUUCUUCCAGAAAGAGCCAGUCGAAUCAUUUGCAACGUUCCGACGCACAUUUCGGCGCCUCAGAGGUGCAUGACUUGCACCGUCUGCGGAACAUGUAA